AACACUCGGCUUACAUAUAAGCCGAAUGUCCCCAUGUAAGUCGAGUGCCAACGGGCACAUGAUUUAUACAUAACGGCAACAACAAUAUAUUACAUAUCCAAUAUAUCACGACAACAACAAUAUAGAUCACAGCAAUAUAUUAGAUAUCCAAUAGAUCACAAAAACAACAACAAUAUAUUACAUAUCCAAUAGAUCACAACAACAAUAUAGUUUGACAAAAGCAUGUGUGCAUAUGCAACAGGAAUUCACAAAUGAAAUGGUCAUGCAUACAUAUCCAAUAUAUUACAAGUUCACAACAAUAACAAACCGAUGAUGAGUUCAAAGUCCACACACGCAUACAUAUCCAACAUAGUUUGACAAAAACACACAUACAUAUUCAAGGAGAGUUCAGAACAUGUGUACAUAUGCAAACACUUUGCCUUGUGAUUGCAGGUUCAUACCAGACACAUAGAGAAAAGGACUAAAUUGAAGACCAAAAAUCGUCUCAAAUAGUAGCAAGAAAAAUAUGAUUAAAGAAGGU
rnacentral:lncRNA from 1 species